CACGUAGGGGGCAAGCGUUGUCCGGAAUCAUUGGGCGUAAAGAGCUCGUAGGCGGCUCAGUAAGUCGGGUGUGAAACCCCCAGGCUCAACCUGGGGACGCCACCCGAUACUGCUGUGGCUAGAGUCCAGUAGGGGAGUGUGGAAUUCCCGGUGUAGCGGUGAAAUGCGCAGAUAUCGUAAGGAAGACCAGUGGCGAAGGCGGGUCUCUGGACAGUUCCUGACGCUGAAGCACGAAGGCCAGGGGAGCAAACGGG
rnacentral:rRNA from 1 species